rnacentral:rRNA from 1 species
UACAGAGGUCCCAAGCGUUGUUCGGAUUCACUGGGCGUAAAGGGUGCGUAGGCGGUCGGGUAAGUCUGAUGUGAAAUCUCACAGCUUAACUGUGAAACUGCAUUGGAUACUAUUCGGCUUGAGAGUUGGAGGGGGGACUGGAAUUCUUGGUGUAGCAGUGAAAUGCGUAGAUAUCAAGAGGAACACCAGUGGCGAAGGCGAGUCCCUGGACAACUUCUGACGCUGAGGCUCGAAAGCCAGGGGAGCAAACGGG